rnacentral:lncRNA from 1 species
UUUAUAAAAAAUUGUAUUUUGGAAUUUAAAUCUAUUGUUAAAAAAAAGAAAAAAAUUCAUUAUGUAAUUUCGUACAUUUUCAUUUUAAUAUCCUAUAGUUUAAAAUGUAUCACUUUUGUAUCUUAUAGUUUUAUUUUUCUCUUUCUACUAUCCCCUCCGUUAAUUUUUUCAUUAAAUCAGUGACAAAAUUAAAAUCAUAUGGAAUUAAAGUAAAAAUUUAGUAAACUACAUGGUACUAAAGUGGAUAUUCAAUAAACCAUAGGUAGAAUAUUUGAAGUUUUUUGUAUAUGAUUUAACGAAAUGUUAACGGAGGCGUUGAUGAAAAGAAAAAAAUAAAAAUAUAGGGUACUAAAGUAAUGUGCUUUAAAUCAUGAAAUACUAAAAUAAAAAAGUACUAAAUUAUACAAGUGGUAUUUAAAGUUCAUCCUUAAACGAAGUUAUUAAAAUUAACAGUUUUCUAACUAAAAUUUCUCAAAUACUAUGCUACAAACAAUGAAGCCAUAUUUGGGUUUAAAAAUAUGGUAUACUUAAUAAAACCUACUCCCCUGGGUUUGAAUCAAUAAAAUCUAUCAUUCAAUUACUCAUUAGGUUCUUAAAAAAAUUGUCACAAAUUAAUGAACAAAAAUGUGAUAAGAAUUUAACGAUGUUCGAAUGUACACGGUGCGAUUCUUCUUCUUGUUUUUUUUUUUUGAGAGAGAGAUAAGUAGCACGCUACCCGCUUCGUAUAUUUCAUUUAGAAAUAAAUUUAGCUGUAAAUGUGAAUCAACUAUGAUUCGAACUUGGAAUUUCGAAUACCAACUAUUAAAUUCUUUGCCACUUGCUCUAGAAACGGUCGGUACACGGUGCGAUUCUUAAAGCCGCGUACAAGUCAAAACGAUGCAUGAAAUGGUCCCACUCCCACGUUAGGAACCACCCCUCACCCUUUUUUUUUUUAAUUUUUUACACGAAUUAAUAUUCGUCAUUAUCUUUCUCCUUAAAUCUCUCAUUCCCUUUCUCCUCGGCUUAUUAUUAUUUUUUAACUUUUCUCUCUCUCUCUCUCUCUCUCUCUCUCUCUCUCUCUCUCACACACACACACACACACACACAAUUGCUUUUGCAUUUCCACUCCUUUUAUUUUCA